UACAGAGGGUGCGAGCGUUAAUCGGAAUUACUGGGCGUAAAGGGCUUGUAGGCGGCCAACUAAGUCCGACGUGAAAUCCCCAGGCUUAACCUGGGAACUGCGUCGGAUACUGGAUGGCUUGAAUCCGGGAGAGGGAUGCGGAAUUCCAGGUGUAGCGGUGAAAUGCGUAGAUAUCUGGAGGAACACCGGUGGCGAAGGCGGCAUCCUGGACCGGCAUUGACGCUGAAAAGCGAAAGCUAGGGGAGCAAACGGG
rnacentral:rRNA from 1 species